GGCGGCGUGCUUAACACAUGCAAGUCGAGCGGAAAGGCCCCUUCGGGGGUACUCGAGCGGCGAACGGGUGAGUAACACGUGAGCAACCUGCCCCUGACUCUGGGAUAAGCCCGGGAAACUGGGUCUAAUACCGGAUAUAACCACUGGUCUCAUGAUCGGGUGGUGGAAAGUUUUUCGGUUGGGGAUGGGCUCGCGGCCUAUCAGCUUGUUGGUGGGGUGAUGGCCUACCAAGGCGACGACGGGUAACCGGCCUGAGAGGGCGACCGGUCACACUGGGACUGAGACACGGCCCAGACUCCUACGGGAGGCAGCAGUGGGGAAUAUUGCGCAAUGGGCGGAAGCCUGACGCAGCGACGCCGCGUGAGGGAUGACGGCCUUCGGGUUGUAAACCUCUUUCAGCAGGGACGAAGCUAACGUGACGGUACCUGCAGAAGAAGCGCCGGCUAACUACGUGCCAGCAGCCGCGGUAAUACGUAGGGCGCAAGCGUUGUCCGGAAUUAUUGGGCGUAAAGAGCUCGUAGGCGGUUUGUCGCGUCUGUCGUGAAAGCCCACGGCUUAACCGUGGGUCUGCGGUGGAUACGGGCAGACUAGAGGCAGGUAGGGGAGAAUGGAAUUCCCGGUGUAGCGGUGAAAUGCGCAGAUAUCGGGAGGAACACCGGUGGCGAAGGCGGUUCUCUGGGCCUGUACUGACGCUGGGGAGCGAAAGCGUGGGGAGCGAACAGGAUUAGAUACCCUGGUAGUCCACGCCGUAAACGUUGGGCGCUAGGUGUGGGGUCCUUCCACGGAUUCCGCGCCGCAGCUAACGCAUUAAGCGCCCCGCCUGGGGAGUACGGCCGC
rnacentral:rRNA from 1 species